CGCCGGAGGGGGACCGGAACUCUGGCAUUCGAUCUACGACAAGCUUGUCUGAUGCCAAGGUUAUUUAGGAUGAAACAGUUGGCUCCUAAAAUGGCAAGCAACUUGUUGAUGCAGUUUUGCAGUGGGUUAAUUUCCGAAGGAUGCUAGAGAACACUUGUUUUGAUACUACAUCAUGGACAAGAUGAAGCAUAUAGUGCUGCUGAAGGUCCCCGCGGUGAAAACCAGAUCGAGUCGUGCUGCAUCCUGCCGGCGGCCGCGCGGCUCGGGGAUGGCGGGAUUUGGCGCGGGGGAGACCAGAAGCAGCGACGACGCAUCGA